UAGAAGAGGCAAGUCGUAACAUGGUAAGUAUACCGGAAGGUGUGCUUGGAAA
rnacentral:rRNA from 1 species